rnacentral:rRNA from 1 species
GCUAGGGGGCCAUCCCGGCUUACCAACCCGAUGCAAACUGCGAAUACCGGAGAAUGUUAUCACGGGAGACACACGGCGGGUGCUAACGUCCGUCGUGAAGAGGGAAACAACCCAGACCGCCAGCUAAGGUCCCAAAGUCAUGGUUAAGUGGGAAACGAUGUGGGAAGGCCCAGACAGCCAGGAUGUUGGCUUAGAAGCAGCCAUCAUUUAAAGAAAGCGUAAUAGCUCACUGGUCGAGUCGGCCUGCGCGGAAGAUGUAACGGGGCUAAACCAUG